rnacentral:tRNA from 5 species
GCCGGAUUAUUUCAGUGGUAGACUGUAUCUCUCGUAAAGAUGAGGCGAUGGUUCGAUUCCAUCAUCCGGCUC